CGUAACAAUGGGCCGAUUAUUCCAUUUCAACAAGUGAAUGCUCGAACAGCGGCUUUGACAGGUGUUUCUGAAAGAACCGUGAACCGUAUAGUUUCAGAGGGAAAAAUCAUGGAAAGUAAUUUUACAGCGAGAACUGAAGUCCCUAAUCAAGCAGCUCAAGGACCUUCCACAUCCACAGCUUGUGAUGACAAUUCCACACCAGAGAACACUACUUCCGAGGCUAAGACGAUAAAACUAGUCACUCCAGGUAAAAGUAGAAAAAGAAAAUUAACUGUUUCUGAUUUGGAUGACUUGUGUGGAGAUUAUCACGACGAGAUGAAUGGAGAUAACUUCAGUAAAUGGCUACAGCCAGCAAAGCUUAUCCCAAACUUAGAGCCCAAUUCAUUAAUAGUGAUGGACAAUGCGUCAUAUCACUGUAUUAAAAUAAAUAAACGCGUGACAAUGAACAGUAAGAAACAAGAGAUGCAA